rnacentral:tRNA from 1 species
GUGGCUGUAGCUCAGUGGUAGAGCACCGCUCUGUGGAAGCGGGUGUCGAGGGUUCAAGUCCCUCCAGCUACCCCA